rnacentral:rRNA from 1 species
GUGGGGAAUAUUGGACAAUGGGCGAAAGCCUGAUCCAGCCAUGCCGCGUGUGUGAAGACGGUUUUCGGAUUGUAAAGCACUUUAAGUUGGGAGGAAGGGCAGUAAGUUAAUACCUUGCUGUUUUGACGUUACCGACAGAAUAAGCACCGGCUAACUUCGUGCCAGCAGCCGCGGUAAUACGAAGGGUGCAAGCGUUAAUCGGAAUUACUGGGCGUAAAGCGCGCGUAGGUGGUUUUGUAAGUUGGAGGUGAAAUCCCCGGGCUCAACCUGGGAACUGCCUCCAAAACUGCAUGACUAGAGUACGGUAGAGGGUAGUGGAAUUUCCUGUGUAGCGGUGAAAUGCGUAGAUAUAGGAAGGAACACCAGUGGCGAAGGCGACUACCUGGACUGAUACUGACACUGAGGUGUGAAAGCGUGGGGAGCAAACAGGAUUAGAUACCCGGGUAGUCC